rnacentral:rRNA from 1 species
CGUGGGUAACCUGCCCAAGAGACUGGGAUAACACCUGGAAACAGAUACUAAUACCGGAUAACAACACUAGACGCAUGUCUAGAGUUUAAAAGAUGGUUCUGCUAUCACUCUUGGAUGGACCUGCGGUGCAUUAGCUAGUUGGUAAGGUAACGGCUUACCAAGGCAAUGAUGCAUAGCCGAGUUGAGAGACUGAUCGGCCACAUUGGGACUGAGACACGGCCCAAACUCCUACGGGAGGCAGCAG